rnacentral:tRNA from 1 species
ACCUUUGUGAUGUAACAUAACAUACUGGUCUUGUAAAUCAGAAAUAAUAUUUAAUAUUCAAAGGUA